rnacentral:lncRNA from 1 species
CACAUGUUCAUCAAUAAAAAAGUUUAAUUCUGUAUGUAAAGAGAUCAAAAUCGAUUUUUGAAAUUAAUUAUCAGUUCUUGGAAAUCGCCAUCUUGUCGGCAUGUCCGAUAUAAAAUGUCACGUGACUUCUGGUGAUAUCUAUAAACCACAAAGAACAAACAGAUUCGGGGAUUACCGACCGUGCGUUAUCAUCAAUCAAUCGGGUAUUGCCGUAGACGUCAUACAUUGUUAAAAUGUCUUGCUAAGUGUAGGGUUGUUCUGUCAAACAAGGUUGUGACAAAAGUGUACAUAGUUUUCCCGAUCCCACAACACAAGAAAGACAUGCAUUGCAUGGUUGUGCAGCCUUAAAGUAAUAGCAAAAAGUUUCAUCUAUAGCAAGCUAAGUUGGUGUGUGACGACCAUUUUGAACAACCUUCUUUCGAGAGAGAUUGGUAAUUAUAUUCUUUUAAUAACAAAAUAACCUAGCAGUGCUGAUAGCUAUAGUUAUCAAAUCCUUAUAUGAUAAGAUCUCGUUGAUAAACACAUAUAUAGAUUUGAUGAGGAAGAAAAGUUUCAAUUAUAAGAAAGACAAAAUUAAUGCAGUGUUCUUGUAACAAUCAAUGAUAUACAAAAGAUUCAUUAGUAUGCCUCUUUUAUUUAAAGUACAUUGAUUUAUAUCAAGAAUAUUUCCGU